rnacentral:rRNA from 1 species
AGAGUUUGAUCCUGGCUCAGGAUGCAUUCUAGCGGCAGGCUUAACACAUGCAAGUCGAGGGGCAGCGGGGAGGAAGCUUGCUUUCUCCGCCGGCGACCGGCGCACGGGUGAGUAACACGUAUGCAACCUGCCCCUGUCAGGGGGACAACCCGCCGAAAGGCGGGCUAAACCCGCGUACAUGCCACCGGGGCAUCCCGGAGGCAGGAAAGGCUUCGGCCGGACAGGGAUGGGCAUGCGGCGCAUUAGGCAGUAGGCGGGGUAACGGCCCACCUAACCGACGAUGCGUAGGGGUUCUGAGAGGAAGGUCCCCCACACUGGUACUGAGACACGGACCAGACUCCUACGGGAGGCAGCAGUGAGGAAUAUUGGUCAAUGGUCGGGAGACUGAACCAGCCAAGCCGCGUGAGGGAGGAAGGUACAGAGUAUCGUAAACCUCUUUUGUCAGGGAACAAAGACUGGGACGCGUCCCCGGAUGAGUGUACCUGAAGAAAAAGCAUCGGCUAACUCCGUGCCAGCAGCCGCGGUAAUACGGAGGAUGCGAGCGUUAUCCGGAUUUAUUGGGUUUAAAGGGUGCGCAGGCGGUCUGUUAAGUCAGCGGUCAAAGCCCGGGGCUCAACCCCGGCCCGCCGUUGAAACUGGCAGUCUCGAGUUUGAGAGAAGUAUGCGGAAUGCGCGGUGUAGCGGUGAAAUGCAUAGAUAUCGCGCAGAACUCCGAUUGCGAAGGCAGCAUGCCGGCUCCACACUGACGCUGAGGCACGAAAGCGUGGGUAUCGAACAGAAUUAGAUACCCUGGUAGUCCACGCCGUAAACGAUGAUUACUAGGUGUCGGUGGGUAUGGACCCAUAGCUGCCGCAGCAAACGCAGUAAGUAAUCCACCUGUGGAGUACGUUCGCAAGAAUGAAACUCAAAGGAAUAGACGGGGACCCGCACAAGCGGUGAAGCAUGUGGUUUAAUCCGAAGCAACGCGAAGAUCCUUACCAAGUCUUGACAUCCUCUGGAAUAAAGGGUAAUACCUUUAGGCCUUCGGGACAAGAGAGACAGGUGGUGCAUGGUUGUUGUCAGCUCGUGUCGUGAGAUGUUGGGUUAAGUCCUGCAACGAGCGCAACCGUUCAUUCUUAGUUGCUACGCAAGUGCAUUCUAGCGAGACGGCCGUUGACAAAACGGAGGAAGGUGGGGACGACGUCAAAUCAUCAUUCCCCUUAUGUCCUGGGCCACACACGUAAUACAAUGGUGGUCAACAGAGGGAAGCAAUCCCCCGAGGUGGAGCAAAUCCCUAAAACCCAUCCCAGUUGGGAUCGCAGGCUGC